CAAGUCGAGGGGCAGCGCGGGAUAGCAAUAUCCUGGCGGCGACCGGCGCACGGGUGAGUAACGCGUAUCCAACCUUCCGCAUACUCGGGAAUAGCCUUUCGAAAGAAAGAUUAAUGCCCGAUGGUUUCCCGAAUCCGCAUGAGAACGGGAAUAAAGAUUCAUCGGUAUGCGAUGGGGAUGCGUCCCAUUAGCUUGUUGGCGGGGUAACGGCCCACCAAGGCUACGAUGGGUAGGGGUUCUGAGAGGAAGGUCCCCACAUUGGAACUGAGACACGGUCCAAACUCC
rnacentral:rRNA from 1 species